rnacentral:lncRNA from 1 species
GAAGAUCAAGUUUCAAAUGUCGAGUCAAGAUGAUAUUUCAAAGAAUUGAUUCAUGAUGAAAUUUGUAACAACUAGAUGGUUCGAAUAUUGAAAAACAAUUUCGGAAUUAAUAAAAACAUUUAUGGCUUGUUUGGCAAGUGAAAUGUAAGAUGAAAUUUUAAGCAUUUUCCAUUCGUUUGGUGGUGCCUACGUGACAAAGUUGUCGGAGACUCGACACGCUAUGAUACAUGGGACCACCUCGUAAUGUAAAAAAAUAGAACGGGACAACUCUACAUCAUUUUAAAAAGUACAGGACUAAUCGGUAAUCCGCCUCAAAUUUACUGGAUGAAUGGAGCAUUUGACCGGUACUAAAAACAGGGCGAUGAGGAAACAGGAAAGGACAAAAAAAACCUCCACCAUUGCCAUUGUUUGCCAUGCACGUCGAUCCGAGCAGAAUCCAACCUCCAUUUCAUUUUCAACGCCCAAUCUCAUCGGCUGCAAUGGUGAAGGUCGUAGUAGGAGACGAAGUUCAACUCAAAUUGGCAGAGGACCGCCUUACUCAUUCUGGUUUCACCGCCCAGGUCUUCCCCCGGCCCCUUUCUUUCCUCAAUCCAUUGAUCGCUGCGUACUUUUAAAUCGUUCAUUCUCGGAGUGAAUUGUUUAUGUUUUGUGUUGAUUAGGUCGGCUUGGUGAUUGGAAAGCUCAGUUCCCAAUUGGACCGAGGUUUCGUCUUCGAUUUGGUUCCCACUCCGUUGAACGACGCCGGCGAGCCCGCUUGUUCAGUCGUCGACACCAAAGAUGACAAGGAAAGGACUGGCUCUAAAUCCAAAUCCCAGGUCUCUGAUGCUUCCACUUUGCUUAUCGACAUGGACUGGGUAGCUAAACACGCUCGCCAGGUAUUCUUUGAAUUCCUCAUCCCUUCAUAUGCCAUUUUACAUGAAUGAUAUAUGUUUCUAAUUGAUUGCGAAAACAAUCGUUAUGGGGAUUUCUAGGUUUCCAGAAUGUUGGUAGGUGGGAUGAACGUGGUGGGAGUUUAUGUUUGGGUUAGUGAUACAUCAUUCAAGAACUCAACCAUUACCCUUUGCCAGGUAGCUUCGUUGGACCUUCUCUUUCUUAGGGUUUCCUGUUUUCUUAGAGCAAUGUCCUAUGCAUUCCGAGCUGAUUUGUGUGUCAUUAGCGGUACUAGCUUUUGCAGACAGUGCAAGGAGUUGCAGAAGCCGCCCCUAUUCUAGAGGGGGAUUUGGAUCAAAGGCUGCUUCUUCAUAUAUCUUAUAGUCCCAGAAGGUAACUUUUUUUUUCUCUGUUGGCCUACAUUUGUUGCUUCUUAUGUUGACUGAAAGUUGAUCUUUGUGUGUAGGUGGACGUGUCGGAAUUGUUUGCUGUCUUCAAGCAUCACAUCAAGCAGCAUACGGCCCUGUGAUUUCAAACUAGGGAAGGUCUUAAACUCUGUACAGAGAUUUAGGUGCAUUUACAAAUUUGAACUCAGGUAGGAAUAUAUAAAAUCUGUGCUCUGUACUUUGCAUUCUUGAUAGUGUGGUAGCUUCCAUAACUCAUCAAGUCUUAUACUUCCAGAUUGCCAAUAUCUGGUGAACUUGCAUCAAAUGGUUCAACACUGAGUGCAGUUCUUCGUCAUGGAAUCUCAACUGUUGGGAAACAGCUAAGAGGUGCAAAGGCUAUUGUUGAUGGAAAUUUGGUAAAAUGACUAAUGUUAUGAAGUUGCUAGCUUUUAGAUUGCUCUUUUUUUCUGUUCAAUGUUUGACAACCCUUUUAAUUUGUUUAUAAUAUGUAUGAAAGAUCAAAAGUGAUGAGCCAUGCACAACCGAUUGUUUACAUGAUGUUGAAUUGCUUCUGCCGAUCACAGAAUGUGACCCUUCUACCGAAGGUGAAUUGAUAUUUCUUGCACGUCUAGAGUAGUAGUACUGACUUUUAGCAGGGUAGUAUCUAAUAUUUGGAUGUUUAUGUUUGACUUAUAAAGCAUGCAGGGAAAAGGAUGUAGACGGUCUUCUUGUUUUUGGUGGAUCUGUUUCCUCUUUCACAUAUCUCAACACCAAAGAACCAGUUUCACAGGCCGUUGCUGACAUAAAGGUAUGUUGGGUUUACUAGUUGGUCUUCCUUCAGUUUCUUGAUCGAGCUUGCGGCCUUGAAUUACAAAGACUUAGAAGAUGCUGCUAUGUUCUUCAUGUUUAACAUCCACUCCUCUUACUGACAUUCUUCCCGAAUAAUGAUAGAGUCGGUCCUAGCUCAGAAGGCUGAGGUCUGGUAAUCCAUGGGGCCUCCACGGUGGCAAUGAAAGAGGGUUCAUUUUCCCCUUAACCAGGAAAAAAAUUAUAAAGUUGGUCUCAAGAUAUUGUGCAAGCUCCUCAUUUACAUGUUGGGUUACCCUAUAGAAGUUCUUCUGGUGAUUUUACCCUCUGGUCCUGUAUGGCCAAGAUUAUAAACAUUCACCCUCAACCUUACAUGGGACAAAUGGUUGAUUUCUUUGGAUUUGGGAACUGCUUAAUAUGCAUAUAGAAUUUGAGAUGCAGAUGUCUUUUUAUAUCCUCCCUAGAAUUUAUGACCGAAUGACGAAAAUGUUCAGUCAUCAGUCUUAUCUUUUCGAUGCUACUUUAGGACCUCCAAUCCUCCAUUCUCGCGGUGGAUUAAACUUUCCUUUUGUCAUUUUAGUUUGAUAUAGCCAGAAGUCUGCAAAGCAGACUGGAUAUGAUAUGUGUUGGAGUAGAUGAGGAUCUUGCUGAAAAAGAUGAAGGCCAUGAGGAAGCAAGCGACAACAAACCGUCUCAAAAUCCCAUUUCCAGACUUGUCCUCCACUCUUUAAGGUGUGUACUAUAAAUCAUUCUGUAGCCACUAGUAUAGAGGGAGGAUUAGCUAAAGCUCACUUCUUAACUUCGAGUUCAUUUUCUAUUUCCUGAUCUACGCAUAUUUAUUUAUUGCCCUACUGGUUAAAAACAGGAAAACAUGCCGUCUAGCCUUUCCGCGAAGAGUCUUCAUUCCUUGGUUGGCUGAUAUAUACAUUUGCGACUACCUGCAACCUUCAGAGACGCUUGAGGUCUGCAUAUUGGCUUGUCUGUAAAGACUAAAUAAAAAACAUGUCAACAGUGCACUAUACCACUAUUGAUCGGAAUGCUGUUUUAUUUUACUUUCACAGGUGAUAAACGAUCAUUGUGUAGAGUUGAUGUCGAUGCAAGCCCCGAGUGAUAGCUCAAGAUUCCUGCAGCCAGAAGAGGAAGAAGCUCCAUUUGUUAUCUCAAAAUCUUUCUGGGAUGGCAAUGGGGAUUCUUGUUUGGAUAAGAAGAGAGAAGUUGAUGCAAGUGCAGAUAGUAGCAUCAGAGAAACAAACGAGUCCUCUAACUAUAGCUUGGUAGCAGCUGUCUUCAUCUUUUUUUUUUGUUGGAAAAACGCAGACGUCUUCAUCUUAUUUGUAACCAUCUUGAUAUGUUUUGUGGUGGUUAUGAAAUCAUAGGUUUUGACGCAAGAUGCCGUACAGUUUUUGGGUGCAAUUGUGUUGGUGUUAUUAUAAUUAACGAGAAUAUUAAUUACUAGGAAGAACGCAGGCAACUGGCCGGUUAUGAACACGUUUAUCUAGUAAUUGGAUUUAGUUGUUCUUAUGGCUAGUUUUAUAAGUGUCUUUAAAUAGUGUUAUGUAAGUAGUUAUAAAGAUGAUAACUUGAUAGUGAUGAGAAUCUAAAUCUAAUGACCAAAGUUUCCACUAUAAUUAUUACUAAGUCUUUGCUUUUUCAGGUAUAAUGUUUGUGGACAAUGUACUAGUAGUGGGCUGAAGCCUAGCAAGUAAGCAAUCUUUUGCUUUUUUGAUAGAAAAUUAAGCAAAUGCUGAUUAUUUUAUUUUGUGGUCUCUAAUAAUAAUGAAGGUAUUCGAAAUCGUGAUUUUAUGAUUUUACGGUAGGAGUUCGAUCUUGAUUUUAUUGGAAAGUCGUUGGACAUUAAAAUCGUAUGAAUUGGGAGGGAAAAGGUAAAAUUCUAAACUCGUUUGAGGUAAAAUCGUUUGAAGAAUGUGUAUUUUGUGUUGCGUUUAUGAUUUUAUAAGUUUUAUAUUAUAAACUAUGUACUUUUAGUUGUUUAAUUUAAACUAUGGGUAAUAUUUAAAAUCUUAUGAUUUUACAAUUUAAUCAUACAAUUCCGAUUUUACUUAUAUUUUCAAUUUUACUCGAAAUCCACCAUUUUUUNNNNNNNNNNNNNNNNNNNNNNNNNNNNNNNNNNNNNNNNNNNNNNNNNNNNNNNNNNAAAGUAUCUAAUCUUUUCUAUUUUGAAUUUUUUGCCGACUAAAUCUUCUAUACAAACGAUUUUUUAGACCAUCUCCAAUGCAAGGUGUCAAAGUGUUAUUUCACACUCAAAGUGUUUCAAUGUAAGGUUUUAAAGUUCUAAAAUGCUAUGAAAUUCAAGAUUUAGUCCUAUAUGUAGCCUAAGAAAGUCUCAAAGUGCCAAAUUUAGCUUACUGAUCUAACAAUUUGUAUUCGCAGAGAGGGUUUUUUGAGAUUUGUGACUUUUUAUCGUUUCCCCUAUCGUUUUCAUUUUCGUCAUAACUUUUUUAUUUGGAUUCCGAUUUGAAUAAUUUUUAUAUUAAAAUUCCUAUCUUUCAAUGAUAUUUCCAAACUUUAAACAUUACGUAAAAAAUCAAAAUCAACACUUUGAUUCGCCAAUACACUCAAUAAUGCAACAUGUGUCUUGCCGUGACUUGUUGAUUCUUUUAGAAUAAUUUGACUUAUAAAUUUUAGGAUAGUUUGACUGGUUGAUGUUUUUUUAGCGCGCAAGUUUCAAAUUCAACUCAAAUUGGACCGAUCUCAUCAUGGAUUUCGACGAAUGAAACUCAAGUUGAGUUUAGAGCCCGAUACAAGUUAAAAAAUUCUAGCUUGAGUUCGAGCUCGAAUUGGUUGGUUUAAGAUUUUACACUUCAUCCUAAUCAACGUAAGGAAAGCUAUGUCUCCAUAUGUGAGGUAACGACAGACGUGAAAAACCCUUGUAGCUAGCUACUUCUAGUUAACUAUUGAUGACGAUGAUGAAUCAAAUCCACCAUUCUCAAGGAGUUGCAACUCAAUAGUCAAUAUGUAUUCCCUCGGUUGAUUUAAUGAUGAACAGUAAAUCCCAAAUUUGAAGUACAUAUCACUAACAACAGAAACUUCAGGAUUAAAUCAACGGGGUUAACCCUAAUUUGUAGGCUUAAAUCGCCAUUUCCAAAUCAGNNNNNNNNNNNNNNNNNNNNNNNNNNNNNNNNNNNNNNNNNNNNNNNNNNNNNNNNNNNNNNNNNNNNNNNNNNNNNNNNNNNNNNNNNNNNNNNNNNNNNNNNNNNNNNNNNNNNNNNNNNNNNNNNNNNNNNNNNNNNNNNNNNNNNNNNNNNNNNNNNNNNNNNNNNNNNNNNNNNNNNNNNNNNNNNNNNNNNNNNNNNNNNNNNNNNNNNNNNNNNNNNNNNNNNNNNNNNNNNNNNNNNNNNNNNNNNNNNNNNNNNNNNNNNNNNNNNNNNNNNNNNNNNNNNNNNNNNNNNNNNNNNNNNNCCCUUAUUUGGAGUCUAAAAUCGCCAUUUCCAAAUCAGAUUUGUAAAAGAAACAAAAACAAUUAAAGGUCAUAUAUAUAUAUUGAGCACUUUGCUUAGGACAUUCAACACUAAAAUCAAAAUUAUCAAAUUAUGCAACCAUAAAUCAUUUAUAAUAAACCCUAAACUAUAAACAAUAAACGCUAACAUCCUAAAAAAAAAAAAAANNNNNNNNNNNNNNNNNNNNNNNNNNNNNNNNNNNNNNNNNNNNNNNNNNNNNNNNNNNNNNNNNNNNNNNNNNNNNNNNNNNNNNNNNNNNNNNNNNNNNNNNNNNNNNNNNNNNNNNNNNNNNNNNNNNNNNNNNNNNNNNNNNNNNNNNNNNNNNNNNNNNNNNNNNNNNNNNNNNNNNNNNNNNNNNNNNNNNNNNNNNNNNNNNNNNNNNNNNNNNNNNNNNNNNNNNNNNNNNNNNNNNNNNNNNNNNNNNNNNNNNNNNNNNNNNNNNNNNNNNNNNNNNNNNNNNNNNNNNNNNNNNNNNNNNNNNNNNNNNNNNNNNNNNNNNNNNNNNNNNNNNNNNNNNNNNNNNNNNNNNNNNNNNNNNNNNNNNNNNNNNNNNNNNNNNNNNNNNNNNNNNNNNNNNNNNNNNNNNNNNNNNNNNNNNNNNNNNNNNNNNNNNNNNNNNNNNNNNNNNNNNNNNNNNNNNNNNNNNNNNNNNNNNAUAUAUAUAUAACUAUAACACCACCAUGGCCUUAAAUUUGAUAUGGAAUAAUUAAUGUCAUCCAAUCAAGUAAAACGUACAUAAAAAAAGAGGCCGACAAGUUAAGUGCAAAUAACGGGGACCCACAGCCGCAUUUAGCCGAGGUGGGUGAGCAUUAAAACGAAGCUAAUCACCAAGCAACAUCAGAAGUUAAUGGGACCCAAACCCAUUUCCAACUCCGUACUAAUCACAACCAAAUUAGAGUGUACGGCCAAAAACAGUGGUCUACCUAAACCCAACCAAACCCAGAAAACUAAACCAAAACCAGCAAAUUAAUAUCAUCAUAUCCAGCAGCUCCCCAUUCAUUCCGUCCGGUACUCCAUCUCCAUCGCCCUCUCCAAGUUUUCCCCACCUUCCCUUUCAAUUACCCAAACACGGGGAAACUCCUGGACCCAAAUUUUCAAUAAAAACCCCACACCAAUAUUCUUCAAUGAUCACUUCUUCUUCGCAGAUGGAGGACGAUGAUCGCCCCAUCAUCGGCUUCCCUCUCGGAUUUGCUCUUUUACUGCUCACUCUCAUCACCAUGAGUGCCGUCUUCAUCUGCUGCCUUCACUGGGAUCGCCUCCGUUCCUGUUGGGACGUUACUCCUACUACUGAUCAUGAUCAUGAUCAUGAUGAAAUCCACCAUAAAUCAUCGCCUCCACAACUGGUAUAUAAGUAUAAGCAAUAUAAUUAUAUGCUCAUACAUACUGGUUUUUUUAAAUUUUAAAAUUUGUCUGAUCCUCUCUGAAUUUUGGGGCUUGUUUUCUUUGAAUCGACCAGAAAAUGGGCAAGAUGAUGAGGGAGAGCCUGCCGGUGUUGAUGCCAGGAGAUCAAUUGCCAAGGUUCGUGGCCAUGGCUUGUCCCUGCGAGAAGCCGAUUCUAGUAGACACGAUUCAAGUUGAAGAUCAGAAGCCGCCGGCCACUCUGUUUCCUGUCCCUCCUCUGUUUUAGUAUCUUUGUGAUUUUGGUUUCUUUCUCUGUACAUGUUAGCCUUUAGGUGUUAGUAACAUACAUGCAGCUACUUAGUAUAUUUUACCAUAAUUUUUAUGUACGUUGUGUUUGAAAUUAAAUUUUUUUGAGGAUUUAGUGUAGGUGUUUAGAUUAAGACAUAAUGGUUUAGUUUAGAGUUUAAUUUUUGAGGUUUAUGAUUUGUUAAUUUCAAACUAUUACAAAAUUUAUUGUGUUCGUUAGGUAGCGGUAAAGGAAAAAUAAAUAUUUGCUAGCGGUAAGGAAAUAUUUCCACGGUCUAUUUAAGUGUUGCAUUUAACGGAUCUUAACCUUUUUCAUGUAAGGGGUUUUUUAAAAUCGUUUGAUUGAACUAUAUAAUUGGACGGUCAAAAUUUAUUUGUCGCUAGCAAACACACUUUUUCUUUGCCAGCCAUCUGGUUGCUUGAUUGGCAAGUUUUUUUAUUUGGUUCAUGUUGAUGUUCAGUCAACAAUUAUGAUUUCAGAAGUCCAACCGCAGUUGAAAUUCUGCAACCAUAAUUAAACUUUUCACAAGUUGAACUUUAGCCGUUGCAGCAAGAUUGUCACCGCAGUUCUUGGACUUCCACCAACGGCGGCAUGCUUAAACUACUGUUGCCAGACUUCAGUUGCUCACAUACUUCUGCAGACACUAACGCUUAACUUUCAUGUUGUCGCCAAACCGCAUAAGCCGCUGUCUUCGGACUUCCACUGCCAGGCUUUCGUCACCGUUGUAGGUUUUCACGGACGACGAGGCUGGUCUUUCUUCGGCCGUUUCCAGGCUUUCUCUGCCAACGCCGAAUCUCUGCCUCGUCGUCAGACAAACGUCUCACCUUAAUUCCACUGUCAUUAUUGUCUUCCCCCACCACCGUGUCGGGCUUUCGCUCAUGUCGCCAGAUUUUCUACACUACUUCAGCGUCUUCACCGUGCCACCGAAAAUUUGUUCCAUCGUACUACCAACUGUUGUCGCCGGAGUUCAGCCACUAUCAGCGGACAAUGGUUUUUGGUCGUUAGAAGACAAACAACGUAAUCAUAGCAAAUGUAAUUCAGACAAAAGAACCGUGGUGGAAGUGGGACAUUCGCCUAAUUGAGUUGACUACAGAAAUAUUCAUUACCGUGAUUAGUUCAGUUACGAUUGAGCGACCAGAAAAAUACGGUCAAGUGACUACAUAUAUUGAUCCGGUACCGUUUUGACCUUUGAAAAUCAUACAUAUACAUACGUUAUUUUGUUCCCCACAAAUUAGAAUCUGUAAGGUAAGUGAGCCAAAAAUAUCGAUAUCAAGCCAUCACUUUGGGAAGUCCAUGAAGUUAAAAUGGAUGCCAACUUCCAUGAAGAUUGUUGCCCCGUACACACACAUUUCCCUUAUGUUCAAAAUGACAACAAAAAGUGUAUUCCAUUUCCAGCCGCUUUCUUCUCCUUCCUUGUCUUCUCUGUUCAGCUGAUUGCUCAAAUAUUCUGAAACCUUAUCACUCCCCCCAUCCCAUGUCCCCCUUCCCAAAUAUGUGGCAAAGAAUGCGACAGAACAAACAUCACAGAUUGUCUAUUUUCCCAGACUUACAGUAGAAAGGAAGCAUAAACAGUGGGAGGGAGGAACCAAGGCAAGUAGGCUGAGAAUUGUACAGUUUAUAUAUUUACUCCAAACAGAAAAACGUGUUUCUAUGAGUCAACAACCACCCUCAGAACUGAAACGCAUCUGAAUUUAUUGAGUGCUCCCUUCAACUAACUAAUAUAAAAUCCCUCCUACUCAUGCCCCUUUGAUUCUUUACUCAUCUGAAUUUAUUGAGUGUUCCCUUCCCUCCCCUGAAACCCCCCUCUCCCCUCCCUUGCCUUCACCUAUAGCAGCAGCAGUUUCUCUGCUGUAAGAAUUAACAAGAAUGAUGAAUUUGUACGAAGAAAACGAGAGGUCAGUGAUUGGUGUACCUCUGGGAUUAAUUCUUCUGGUGGUGACUCUGUUAGCCAUGUGUGGAGUCUUCAUCUGCUGCCUUUACUGGGAUAGGAUUCCUCUCAGUUCCCCUCCUACCCACAACAACAAACCAUCCCCUCAUCACCUGGUUCGUAUAUGUACAUACUUUCAUACAUAUAUGUUCUGGGUUUUCUUGUUUUUUCUUUUAAUUAGCCUUAUGGAUCGAUUUCCUUCUUGUGUAAUUGCAACAGAAGGCGAGCAUGAAUAAAGUGGAGAGCUUGCCAGUUUUGAUGCCAGGAGACAAAGUCCCCAGCUGUAUAGCCAUGUCCUGUCCCUGCAAGCCGCCGGUGGCAAAUUUGGAGACCAUCGUUCAAUUGCCGGACAAACCUGCAGCCCCUCCUCUGUUUUAGUAUUCAUUUUCGGUGGUAGAAAUAAUUACGACUUUGAAAGAGGCGAUCACUCUCUAUUUUAGUGUUGAUUUGUAAUAUAUACAUAUUAUUGGAGAGUUACGGCUAACAACAUGUUGUGUCUUGGCGACAUCAAAAUACAGUAGUGGCAAAACAUCAGAACCUACAACUGUAAAACAAAGUCGACAGAGGAGACAACAAGUGCCACAAUAAUAUUUAUAUAUCCGAACAAGAUAGAGAUAGGGUAUCCAAAUUUCUUUUGGAACAUCCACUUACACGCCCGGUUAGUGGAUUUCCCUCAAUUUAUUAAUAAAUCAAAAGGGAUUCCAUUGUGCUGAGGCAAAGCCAAAGCAUGUCUCGUCAUGGUAGUAAUGACUGCAUUACCACACAAAAAAAAACAAAGUCAUUUCAGCACCGGAGAAAAAAACCGUCGCUAUUUUCAUGGCAUAUAGCGCGUCGCUUAAGAACCUUGCUGCGGAGUUUUAUUUCCAUAUAGCAGAAGGGUGGCCUUUGUGCUACGGUAGCGACCGUUGCAAAUGACGUACCUUUUUGCUACAGCUUUUUUGCUACGAUUUCUUCUGUCGCAAAUGGGUUUCUUUUUUAUUACAAAUAUUAUAAUGAUUCUAUAUUGGCCAUUGGACAAGCUUUUCCCAAAACUAUUUAAGUCCAAACUAAGUUUUAUUACUUUGUUAUACAUUAUGAUAUUAACUAUUCAACUUUGCUGGUUUUUAUAUUAUGAAAAUAUGCGCUUUGUUCACCAUAUUGUUUGAUACCUAGCUAGCUAGUGCGUAUACUUUUAAGAUAUAAAAUGUUAUAACUAAUUGCUGGUGAAGUUUUUGAACUGAAUGAUGUUUGUCAUUACCACUAAUGCAAGGACAAUGAAGAUAAUCUAAUCUUUGCAGUCUGAUUAAAUUAAGGACCAAGUCAAAAAGCAUUAGGCAUUAUCUAAUUAAUUUUUUUAAAUAAUGUAUCGAUGUUUCUACUGUGGGCAUAUUAUUCAUUUAUUAAGGCUAUGUUUUGGAUUUCCACUCCUUUUGCUAUUAUCACAUGACGUCACGAUUUAUAUUUUAGGAUUUCUGAAUUUUAGAAUUCUGACCGUUUAACUACUUUAAGGGUUAAUAUUUAAAAAAAAUUACCUAAGGUUAUUUAUAUACCGUAAGUGAAGUAGUGAAAUUGAUUGAUAAUUCUGUAUAAAAUUGAUUUUUAAAUCAACGGAAAAAUAAAAUUUUUUAUUUCCAAUUUAGUGAAAUUAACAACCGGUUGCCACAAUUGGUUUUCCAAAUUAUUUGAAAACAUGAUUCAUUUUAAUAAUUUUGUAAUCAAACCAAAUUAGAAUGAAAUGGAAGUGAAAUAAAUUAGUUACUACACAUUUACAAAAAUAAUUACAAUGAAGCUCAUUAUUUUUUUUGUAACAAAGAGGCUGAUUUCAUUGAUAAAAAACAAUAAGAGGCAAAGUUCAAAAAAGUCAUAAUAGCAGAAAAUAACAAAAACAAUCUAAAGUUACAAGCGAGAGAACCAAGAGGGAUCCAACACACCCAUUUGAGAUUCGGUUGAAUGAUGCAAGCCACUGCGUGUUCCAAAAAUAAUGCAGUUGAAUGAUGCAGUCCGAGAUUCGGCAGUUGAGAGUUGGCGGAGGAUUGCAACGAAAAUCAGAAAAAGCUGGGAACCAUGCAUCGUCUAAAAGAGUAUCUCUACCGUUAUCGACAUUCUUCCAGAGUCUCAAAAGAAGAGUCGUGCAUCCUUCAAGAAUGCUAUUCCAAAUCGACGAUGGCUGAUAGUGUCGUGAUGCUGAGAUAAAAUCAGAGUGUGGAAAAUAAAGGGCUUUUAAAAGACGAAUUCAGAGAGCUUCCGGCUUCUGAAUGAUCUACCAACCCAACUUAGCCAAAAAAGCAAGGUUAAACUGUUGAAAUCUUUUAAAUACCAACCCACACAGAAGCCUUCGAACUAGUGAGAACAUCCCCAGAAAUGCAAUGAAUAGAUCGGCAGCUACCAUCACCUGCCACCAGAAAUUACGUAGGACUGAAUCUAUCUUUUUGAGAAGAGUGUUAGGAAGCAAGAAGCAAGAGAAAAGAUAACUUGGGAUAGCUUGGAGGAUUGCCUUUGCAAGCGUUUCUCUGCCAUCGUGCGAAAGAAUAAGACUUUUCCACAAACUCGCUCGCUGCUGAAGACGCUCGAACAUGAACCUAAAAGUUUCCGACUUCGAGCACCCCCAAUCAGUUGGCAGGCCGAUAUAGGAACCAAGGGAGCCGUAACUGUGAUUCCGAAAGCACUGGCAAUUCGAAAUUGAACCAAUUCCGGUGUGUUCGCAGAAAAUUUGAUCGCUGAUUUGGACUCGUUCACUGCUUGACUAGAGAGGUGGCAAUAAUAGUGAUCAAUGGUAGACUUGAGGGUCGUAACUUCUGCCAUAAAUGCUUUCCCAAAAAUAACAGUGUCGUCAACGAACAAGACAUGAGACAAAACUAGACAACGGUGAUUCAACUUAAAGCCUUUUAGCUUACCCCGACUGAUAUCUUGUUGGAGCAUGAAGGAGAGGACAUUGGAGACAAUGAUAAACAACAUUGAAAAUAAAGGGUCCCCUUGUCGCAACCCCUGGUACGGGCGCAAAUACGACGAGGGUUGUCCGUUAAGCAUAACUGCAAAACGUACUAAAGUGAUAAUGCCUUCAAUCCAUGAAAUCCAUUGCGUGCUGAAGCUCAUAGCUGUCAAAGUGAGACCCAAAAACUCCCAUGAAACUCUUUCAAAGGCCUUAUUCACAUACAACUUCAAUAAAAAAAACAUGUUGCUUGCCUUUCUUUCUUAUUUUAAAUUUAUGCAAAACCUCAUGAACAACAAUGAUACAAUUUUGAAUGAAAUGGCUGCCCAUAAAUGCAAUGCAGAUUGAAGAUCAGAGAUGAAAGUUGGCAAGAGUAGUUGGAGUCGAGAAGCAAGAAUUUUCGAAAUAAUUUUCGCCCAAAAAUUAGAGACGAAUGAUAUAAAAUACAAUAAAAAUAACUACAAAUGUGACUGCAGAGAUUUUGAAAUCGUGGACCUGAAAGGAAACAAAAAAGGAAGCCCAUCGGUCCAAAAAAUGAGGCCCACUACAAAUUGCUUGCUUAUUUUUCUUUUUAGGACACCUCCCUUCCCUGAUGACCGUAAUGAGCCGCUCCACAAAGUAAAAGAAGAGCUAGCUAGCUUCAGCCUUCAAGGGUUAACAACUUACCAAAUUUUGCAGAGGUCAAUGGAUCGCCUUGCCAACUCGAACUGAAAAACCGGCCAACUGGGUCGUAAAGUGUUAGCAGCCACUCCACGUCGAGAGUUUGGGCUUCACGCUGUAGGCCCGAAUCGGCUGGCAUUGAUUAAAGAGGAUCAACGGCUGUGAUUGAACCAUCUGAAGCACGCAGCCAAUCAUAACUCCCCGGCAGUACGAUCAAUUUUAACUUUUAGUAAUUAUUGUAUGUUCGGCGGUUUAAAUAAUAAAUAAAUAAAGAAGAAAAAAAGGAGGAAACAAAACGAAAAAGCUGAAGCAGAAAAGCAAGAGUGUGUGUUUUCUUAUUCUAUUCUUUCUUCAAAAGGAAAAACAAAUGUUGGGCUGAUUAAUUAAUUUUAAUUUUAAUCAGACAGCAAAUUAGCUUUUGUUAUUUUGUGACAAAUGGAGGGUCCUUAGUUCUCUUUUUCCUCUCCCCCACCCCUCAUCUCUCUCUCCCUUCCCUAUCAUAGUCUUCUCUUCUCGGGAACCAGUCUCCAAAUCCGUCUUACGAUCAACGAUUCCGGUCAACCUUAGGUGAGGUAACACUCCCUUUUCAGCUACUGUUGAUUCCUUUGUCCAGCGAUUCUGUUAAACCUUCGAUUUUUUAAAUAGCAUCUAAGCAAAAAUAAUGGAGGUUUCGUUUCAGUGAUAGCGGGAAUUUGUUAUUUCUGAAGCUCAACGAGUGGAAGGUGAAGUUGAUUUAUCAUUUUAUGUACCUGGAAUGGAAGUUGGUUGUUGCUUGCACGAAAUUUUCCAGCAUUUUUCUUGCCUUUGCAAACGGAACAUGCAUCUAACUUUUUCUUGCUUCUCUGCGCCUGCGUUUAUUGUGCCAUUUUUCCCAGCUUUUCUUUUUUAAAAUAAUAUUAUUUCAGAAACAUUUCCUGGUGGCUUUGUCGGCCUUCUGUUCUGGAUUUGGCAUACAGUUAUUAUUAUCGUCUGCAAUUACUUGGACCUUGAAUGCUUGCUUCUUCAAUUUUCUCUUUAAAUGCGUUUUGUCCUUUCCUUUCCUUUCUUUGAUUCUGGGCUGGAAUUCUCGAUUUCGAAGAGCUUAUUUGUGGAUCUAUCAUCAUCUGUUUACCUUGUGCUGGUAAUUCGGAAGAAACUUUUGUUAGUUGUUCUGAUUCCCGAUGAUUUAGGUCAAGCUGGUUUGCUUCUCCAUUUCCUUAUGUGCUUUUUUGAACUUGCAGGGUUAUAAGUAAGAACUUGUUAGCAUUUUUAUUUUGUUCGAUUCUUCUGAUGACUCCGCCACUGCUUGGUGGUGUGGAGGAGGGUCAAAUCAAUGCUUCUCUGCUUGCUUCUUCGACAUCCUUGGAAAGUGUUUGCCAAAAUGGGUCUGCUGAACUGAAAGAGCGCAACUACAUGGGGCUUUCUGAUUCAUCUUCGUCUGGAGAUAGCUCCGUUAUCUCUGCCGUGACCGGUGAAAGCAAGGCUAGGCUGAACCUUAAGGCGACAGAACUUCGGCUUGGGUUACCUGGAUCUCAAUCACCUGAAAGGAAUUCCGAGCUUUGCUUAUUUGGAUCCAAUAAACUCGAUGAGAAGCCCCUCUUCCCUUUGCAUCCAGUAAACGAGAGCAAUGGGUCUUCCACGCCGAAAACUUUACUUUUGGGGAACAAAAGAGGGUUUUCGGAUGUCAUGGAUGGAUUCUCAGAGGUAAAUAAACACAGAUGAUUGUACUUGCAUGAGAUACUCUCUCAUUCACUGACUUGAAACUGGUAAUCUAUGGUGUUAACAGGAUAAGUUUUCUUCAAAACAAGAUGUAAAUGGGAUGUUGUCCCCCAGGCCCUCUCAUAACAUGGGACUGAAGCCAGGUUCUAUUCUCGAGAACCUGUCUACUCUACCGGCUAAAGCGAAAGAGGCCGUAGCGCAAAAUGCUGCGCAGGAGAGGCCUCAUGGUGCAAAGGACACUAGAUCAAGCAACAGCACAACACCGGCGGCUAAGUAAGCUAUCAUGUCUUUCACUUUCUGUUAAGCUAUGCAUGGGAACUGAUAAGAAAACUGGUUAUCUGGCAGGGCACAAGUUGUGGGCUGGCCUCCUAUCAGGUCCUUUAGGAAGAACUCACUUGCUACCUCCAAGAAUACUGAGGAAGUAGAUGGAAAGGCAGGUGCUACUGCUUUGUACGUUAAAGUGAGCAUGGAUGGUGCCCCCUAUCUUAGGAAGGUUGACUUGAGGAACUAUUCUGCAUACAAGGAACUCUCUUCAGCUCUUGAGAAGAUGUUCAGUUGUUUUACCAUAGGUAAGAAAAAUCUUAGUUCAAGUUAGAUGGGUAGCACUCUCGAUACUAACUUCUUUUCUAGAUAAUUUAUGUUAUUUUUCAUUUUUGUCUUUUGAUAACAGGUCAAUAUGGAUCCCAUGGAGCUUCAGGUAGGGAGGUGCUGACUGAAAGCAAGUUGAAAGAUCUGCUGCAUGGUUCAGAAUAUGUUCUCACCUACGAGGAUAAAGAUGGUGACUGGAUGCUCGUUGGUGAUGUUCCCUGGGAGUAAGUAUUAACCGUUUUAAAUAUUUGUACUUGUUUCGCGACUCAUUCAAUCUAAAGGCUAGGGUUUUGAGUAGAUGUAACUUGUAAAGUGUGUGUUGAAUUAGACAAAGUAAAACACAUAGUGUGACAUUUUGUUUUCUGAUAAUAGCUUAGAUUUUACUCCUCUGUUAAUAGGGUUGAAUAACAUGUAAGAUGAGAACUUUUUUCCAUCACUGUCAGACUAGUUUCAGUAGAAAUGGAGAUAUUGCCUGUCCAUGGAUAACUUGUAGGAUGUGUAAUGACUACAGCCAAACAAGUGUAUUCUAUAAAAGUGUUAGGAGAGCGUGCGAUUCACCAUGUUUAUUCUGAUACACUCCUGUUAUCAACCAUGAACUGGGAGAAGAUGGUCAGAUGACCCUGAAUCUUUAUACUAUGUUAGCAAUUCCGUGCUCUGCUAACUUCCUUGGCAAUGUCCAGCAUUGAACAAUUAUCAACUUAAUUUUUGUGGUUAUAAAUGAUUAUAUGCUAUAGGAAGUGGGUUGUGUACUUAUCUGAAACAUUCUCUUUUGUUUGUUAAUAGUUAGUAAGUAUGCUUGGAGAGGUGGCACUAAUACCUAAUAAGCAGUCAGCUGCUCUCUGUACCUGGUUCUCUAAUUUAAGCUUGUAUUGUUCUACAUUGACUUAUGUUAUGCUUGUUUUCUCCUUUUUGAAGUUCUAGACUUCCCUCUUUUUUCAUCCCACCCUCGUCUUUAUUUUCGUUCAACAUUCUGAAUUAUUUUCUUUGAUCUCUUUCUAAUCUGGCAACGUUAUUUAUUUCAUUGUUUAGGAUGUUUAUUGAGACCUGCAAGAGGUUGAGGAUCAUGAAGGGUUCUGACGCCAUUGGUUUAGGUGGGUGUGUUAUUUCAUGAAAUAUACUUGUAUAGUAAUAUAUUGCUAUCUGAAUCAUCAAGAUUACUUUAAUACACUGUCAUCCUUUUAAGAAUGAUUUUGAGUUCAUGAGACUCGAAUAAUAUACCGUCUUAUCUUUUGUUGAUUCACCGUAUCCAUUAAUCAGUUAUAGAAUUGUGGCUGAUACGCUGAGUGAUCAAAUCUGUUCUUACAUAUUCUAAUAUGGUAGGGUUCACAAUCAACUGCAAAAUAAUUGAUCACUAUGUAGAGAGCAUUGUUCAUAGGAUAUCUUAUGCACGGAUUUACAAGACUUGAUGCAUGUUCAGUUUUCACCAGACAUAUUUGUUGAAAUUGCUAGAUUGGCACACAAUAAUUGAUGAGAGGCUGAUAUUUCAUAAAGUUAACAGUUGUGGGUGUGCCUUUUUGUAUGGGUUUGCAGCUCCAAGGGCGGUAGAGAAGUCGAGGAUCAAGAACUAGCCAGCAACGGUGCCCAUCGUGAAUGCCAUUGAGUCCAGCAGCUUAGAACUUUGGGUUGGUGAACAGAGGAAGGAGGAGGAUGGGUAAGGUGGGUUGAUGAUCAGGGCACUUGUUGCUGCUACUUAUCUGCUCUGCUUGAAUAGUGUGGGGUAUUUUAAUUUUAACUCCGUUUUUUGUUUGUGUUGUUAAGUUGAGAAAGUAAGUAAUGUCUGUUGGAUGUGAGUUCCCUUUGUAGAAACCUUUGGUUCCCCAUGAAGACGCUAGUAGUAGUACAUGUAUCUUGUGUGGCCACUGCAACUGCAAGCAAUGCUAAUUCUAUUUUGGUUAUUUAAGAAGGAAAAAACGAGAGAAGAUGAGAGUUUGAGAGUGAAGUUGUCGUUUGAUUGCUACAGAACCUAACUAUUGCUUGUGUUGUGUGGUGAUUUGAUGAUUCCUCACUUCAUUCUUUAACUACAAUGUCUGUUACCUCUCUGUACAUAUAAUUGUUUACUACGGCGGACUGUACUAGAAAACCAACAACCAAGAGAUAAGGUUGUCGGGAGACAACAAGAUUGGAGGAGAGGCCAUGUGAUGUGGACAGAUUCUUGCUCCAUUAUUAUUGGGUUGGUUGGAGUUCUCUCUCUCUCUCUCUCUCUCUGCAUCUCUGCAUGCUUACAUAAUUGAUGCCCUUUGGUGGGUAGGAGGACAGCAGAAGAGUUUGUAUAAAUGCAUCCUCCUUGGGUCCACAGCUCUGUCGAGCAAGUUUGCACCUCCUUAUGUGGCAUGUGUAACAGUUUAAACAGGUCAAUGAGACCGAGCCGGAGCGGGAUGUCGUUGGUGAUAGACUAUGGUCGAGAUUGAAGAAUAGCGAAUUUAAGCUUGAUGAAGAGGGAGCUUGUGAUAGGAAAGGAUCUAUAAACUGGGUUGAUGUGGCUUGCCUGCCUAUUAAUGAAAACUAAUAUGGGCAUAAGGGCUGUUAUCUUAAGAUGGACAUAGAAUGGUAGGGCUGGAAGUUCGGAAAUGGGAUUCGUGAAUUCCUGUUUCCAUUGUAUUGAAUAAUUUUUGGCAUUCGGGUUCCGAUAAAUCAAAAAUUCAUUUCGAGCCCGGGUGAAGUGUUUUCAGGAACGAUUGUUUUUACGUACGUCGGGUUUGGGAUUCCCUGAACAUAUUUGAGGCAAAACGUUAACUUAUCUCUACUCUAUAACAGGUUUAAGAAGGUACGUAGUAACAGAGAGAGAUGGGAGUUUGGAAAUGUCUACUUGAGGAAAGGAGCAAAGGAAUUUGGAUAAUUUAAAAUUAGCAAUUCUUGUAUUUAACUGCUCUUAAAUAUGAAAGUGGGGAUUUGAUCACCUCAUAUUAAUCAAUUGUUUUAAGUUAAAAGUUUCGGUUUGGGCUCAAUAAAUAUUAAGCCCAACAAUUAUUAUCCAUACAUAUAAAAGAAAUCUUUUGAGGCCCCAAAUCCCAUUUAUACGAACAGCUCCUCCAGCGAUCCAAUGUACGCACGUAAACUUGUCGGCCUGCUCACUGUCUAAUUGUGAUGGCAACAUCUGUUCAAUCAAAACACCAAAUAAUCGUUAACCUUAACCUCGGAACCAUCCUCAACUGGAUUAGCUAGUCAGUGGGUCGAAACCAUCCUCAACUGGAUUAUUUAGUCAGUGGGUCGAAUAUCAGAAUAUAUACAAAAAAAAGAAUGAAUAAUGACCAAAACGGGUCUAGUGCUAAAUUGAAUACCACAUCGUUAAGUAUGAGGUUACUUGAUGAGUUUAUAAUUUUCUGGACACUUUCCCCUCCCCUCACAAGCUAUCAUUGGGGGUUGAGUUCUAUUUAGGAGGUUGUAACAGUUGGUAUCGUAGCAUGUCCCACGACCUCUUGCAGAGGGGGCGACCCGCAAAAUAGAGCAGGCUGUCGUAGACGUUGGUUCGGACUUCGGAAGUGUUGUGGUAUAUUACGUGCCCAAUUGAACACCACAUCAAUAAGUAUGAGAUUAGCGAGUGAGUUUAUAACCUCAUGGACACCAUCUCCUCACAAACUAGCGUUUGAGGAUGAGUUAUAUCCAAAAGAAUGUAACAAGAGAUGUUUAUGACUACUUUAUGUCGAGAUUUUCAAAAUUCAAAAAUAAACAAAAAGCGUGUGUGAGGAGUAAUUAACCCGGGUACACCCAAAAUAGGCAAAAUUUCUGGUUAGAAUUGAUGUUCUUCAUGUUAAUCUAUGUGAACUCGUAAUGAUAAGCGUGUUUCUUUGUAAUUUACUGUUUUGAGUAAUUAAUGAAUGGAUAGAACGUUGAAACAAACCCGGUCCAAUGAAGCCAAGAAGCAGAUUGAAGAUGUAUAAAUUAUACGACAACCUCCAGCCAAACUAAUAACUCAGAUUGAUGGUCAAAAGAGAGCAUAAAUAAUUAUAAUUAUAAUUAUAAUUUGUUGUAUAAUAAAGUAUGGUUCUUACGUCNNNNNNNNNNNNNNNNNNNNNNNNNNNNNNNNNNNNNNNNNNNNNNNNNNNNNNNNNNNNNNNNNNNNNNNNNNNNNNNNNNNNNNNNNNNNNNNNNNNNNNNNNNNNNNNNNNNNNNNUGAUUAAUAAUUAACAAAAAGAAAGAGAAAACUGAUGGGAUCUCUUCCAUGUGAGAAUAAGAGAUUUAUUUCUCUCUAAUAAUUGCCAUGUGAUCGAGGUGCCAUAAUUCGUCAUCACUCCCAAAUCAUUAAACCUUACUCAAUAAUAAUAAUAAUAAUAAAGUCUUUUAAUUAUCAUGCUAUAUUCAUAUUUAGAUUUUAGGCCACUUGACUUGCCCUAGCCACACUCAUUAGUUGCUAAUUUUAACUUUGAAGGUAACCAACAUUUGGUGGGUUUAUGUACUUUCAUUUUGGUAAAUUAAAUUAUAGUAUUUUACUCGCUUUAAAAACGGCAACUGUUCUAAUUAUUUUUUUGUGGAAGACCUGACGUAAUCAGUCGGACAGAUUCUGAUAUGGUAACUGAAUAAUAUGAAAGCUCAUAUUAAAUAAUGAAGUAUAUGUGACUCACAAAAUUUUACCAACAUCCUUAUUUUUUAUACUCUAUAUAUAUAAUUUGGCUUAGUGCACUAAACCAUUUAGAACAUGCCGCUCCACGCUUGUAUCACCACUUCAUUUCGUGUCUAGCUAUUAUUGCAUUUGAUCGGUCAGUAAUAUUAAUGAGUAUUAUCGUGUCCUUAUUCAGUACACUUUGUGAGAUGGAAGUCGUAUUCAGUCAGUCUUAGACGUUAAUUAGCAAUGUAUAGUGAGUAGCAAGUGGUUUAUUAAGCAAGUCAGCUAGCUGAUGAGUGGCAGGGAUGUGACUAACUCGCAUAUCGCCUUUGUGAGCUCUACUUAUGGGGGAAAUGACAGUCGGGAGCCAACUAUGCAAUCACAUUAGUAGCAGAGACAACAACAAGUGUGAAUUUUCUUAUAGUUGGGAGGGGUGUUCAAAAGAGAUUGAUACCGCAAAGAGUUUAAGAUGGUAAUCUGGUAUUGAAACAGAGAGUUGUGGCAAAGACAAAGGACCAAAACAUGGCUGGGAAAUGAGAAAGAGCACACCUCUUUCCACAAUGUGAUGAUGUUUUUGUUCGACCAGACCAUUAUGUCCGAGGUAUAGUGGAGUAUGGUGUGAGGAGAUGUGUUAUUCCAUGGGAGGCGUAGGUGGGCUGGGAAUCAUCAGUCCACCAAGUCUCGGAAACCUGGCUACGGUUCCGAGGGAUAGUCCUGAUAGAUUUCAGGUCGUCGGAUUAGAUUACUUUUGGGUCAAUUGUCAUCCAACGGUUGGAAAUGAGUCAGACGAAUUGACUUGAAUGGGGUAGUUUCGGAACCGACAAAUUGGAAAAAAAUCACAUUAGUGUGGUCAUUGUACGAGUAUGUUAUGUCGCUAAUAUAACCAUUUUACGGGCUCGUUAUGUUGUUGUUACAUCCACCUUACAAGUAGUUGAAUACAUCAUCGUUAUGUCCCGUUUACAACUUUUUUAUGUCGAUGAUCUAUCCACUUUAUGAGUCUGUUAUACGUUUAUUAUUAUGUCGACUUUAUAUGUAGAUUGUUAUAUCCACGUUACAUCAUUGUUAUGUCAUUGUUAAAAAUAGAAAGAGGAGAGAGAAAGAAAAGUUGAAAGAAAAAGAGUACUUUUUAAAUUUCCGUUAUGCCCCUAAUAAAAUUUCAACCAUCAUAUCGAAAAUGUCUAAAAUAAUUAUAACCGUUGAAACGGCUGUCGGAUACUCUUGGCUCUCGGAGCCAUAGCAAUUUUGAAAUCCCGAAGACUAUUAAAUUCCAUAUGUGGGGUGGCUAUACUUGAGAGUCAAAAAUAAUAAUUGGAAUUCAAAUUUUUAUUAGCAAUGUGGUGCUUCGGUCGAGUUGGGCCAAGUUUUUUAUCAAGACCAAGUUUCAAUUUAUGAACAUAUUUUUAUAAUAUUCCCCUACCAAANNNNNNNNNNNNNNNNNNNNNNNNNNNNAUAAAAAAUAGUUAAUAAUAAUAAUAUUAGGUUUUCUGUACGCCUUGGUCAGUGGGCCCGCCUUCCUUCCUGGGUCCCGGUCCCCACAGAAGAUUCCAUUUUAAUUAUCCACUGAUUUAAUUAAUUAACUAACAUUAAUUGGACGAAUGGCCAACUUUUCCUUCUUUCUUCUUUAUUAAUUUCUCGCUAACUAGAAUCAACGAAUUAUUCGUGUAAUGGUGAUAAAAGCUAUAUUUGAAAAUUGUUUAGGAGAGGAAUAAAACCUUAAUUCAAAACAAUUCCUCGACUAAAUGAAUUGAUUACUAAAGUUUACAUAAAAAAAAUGUCCCCCCUAACCAGUAGACGUGGUUGCACCUGAUUAUCAGCUAAUCUCAUAUAUACAGACAUGGGUUUUAGUUUUCCCAUUCCGGUGGACACGUAGACGCAGGGUGGGAGGGUGAAGUCCACGAGGGCUCUGCUAGGCUGGGCGAGUGAGCUGUGUGGGUUAGUGAAAGCGCGUAUAUAGGAAAGUAAAAAGAGGAGGAAUGGAGCGGGAGGCCUGGGGAAAGGGAGAAACAGGUCGGUGCAGGGAACUGAGUGGACAGUGAGACUAGUACGUAACGUAACGUGCUCCAGUGACUCAAAUCACCAAAAUAUGGCGCCCAAAAUCGUUGACCUUGUCCUUCUUUAUCCAUCUACGUACUCUCUAUGCCUUCCAAACAAACACUGGCCGGAGCUAGCGUAAAACAAUGGACAUACUCUGUGAAAAUUUAUGAAGUAAAACCUUUAUUGACUUAACCGGACAGAUAUUGAUCGUAACAGUAAAAAAAUACUCUGCUAAAGUAAUCAGAGAGAAGAGUCAACAAACAAAUUCCCAAUAAUUCCAUUUGGACGUUAAUUAAGUGGGCAGUGGAGGUUGAAUAAUAAUGAGCUAACUUAUUAGUUUGUCAUUAUUGUUGUUCAUAAUAAUUAAUUAAUCAAUCACUGACCAAAAGUAGCGGAACAAUUUGUUUGGCUUAUUGGUUAUUACGAUUAUUAUUAUAAAAAAAAAGGGGGAAAGAAAAAGAAACAUGGGUAGUGUCUCUGAAUGAAGUAUCUCUUGUCAAAUCAGACUGGCUAACAUAACAUGCACAGUUAUUAUUAUACAAAAUUAAAAAUAAAAAUAUUCCUUGAUUUAAUGUAUCUAAGAAGACUUUUAGGUGGUGUCACAUUAAUUAUUAAUUAAUUAAUAAUAGGGAUUAUAAAAGUAUUAGGACAAUGUGGGUUGUGUAUAAUAUGAAGGUCAGAGAAAGAAAGAGAAGCAGAUGCAGUAGAUCUCAAAUAAAAUACCACCCUUCCUUCUUUCCUUUCUGCCAGCUUUUGAGAUUAUCGAGACGAUACACAAAUAAUAAUUAAAUUAUUAUUAUUAUUUACCUUUGGGGUUGAAAAUGUUGCUGCCAUGCCAUGCCAUGCUGCAGCUCCUCCCUCCUCCUAUUACUACUCCUGAAUUCCAUCAAUAACCUUUUUGUCUUCUCUCUCCAUAUCCUCGUCAUCAUCUCUUCCAUCCAUUCUUUUCCUUCUCUCUACUCAAAAGGCAACAAAAAGGAGAGGAAGAAAGCUCUGAGUCUCAGGGCUUUCAAGUUUUUCAACACACAGAACAGAAAACCCCUUUUGAUCAUCACCUUUUCCGCUCGCCGGUCAUGGGUACUGGGUGGAGAAGAGCCUUUUGUACUACAGUGCCUAGAGAUAAGCACCUUCCCAAUCCCACUAGUCCUCCUCCUCCAACUACUUCAACCCCCAGGACGACUAAGAAGCUCUCUUUCUUCUCCUCCGGAACCAGUAGCAGCACUAGUAACCCUUCUACUCCUCGUCUCCGCCUGAGAUCUCUUUCCAGUCCUUCUUUACGCUCCCGCCCUACUACCACUACUACUACUAGCUCAUCAUCAGCUAAUGUCAACAAUGACGACACUACUCCUACCCUCCAUUGCAAGACUACUCAUAAUACCCCCAGAGCAACAACCAAGACUACUGCUACUGCUACUCCCAAACCCAAACUCGCCUCCAAUCCUUCUUCCCCUCGCUCUCCUCUCAAGCUCUCCCUCUUCAAGAACAGCUUUAAGUUCAGGGUACGUGCGUAAUUCACCUUCUUCUUCUUCCCUCGUUGAUUCCAAUAUCCGGUUGUUGUGCUUAUCUUCUUCUUCUUCUUCUUCUUCUUCUUCUUCUUCUUUCUGUUGCAGAGUAGUUGCGGAAUCUGUUUGAAUAACGUGAAAACAGGGCAGGGCACGGCGAUUUACACGGCGGAAUGCUCUCACGCUUUUCACUUCCCUUGCAUAGCUGACUAUGUUCGUAAGAAUGGCAGCCUCGUCUGUCCAGUCUGCAACGCCGCCUGGAAAGAUGUCCCUCUCCUCGCUUUCCACAAGAAUCUCCAUCCUCAAAACCAACCCACUACGGUCAAGCCUCCAAUUGAGGACAAGAGGGUGGUCAUGGUUGACUCUUCUCCCAGAGCGGUCAAGACGGUCUCCUCUAACUCUAAGCUAGAACCGUCUCCCCCCAAAUCCUCCGAUUUCAGAUCUUACGAUGACGACGAGCCCCUUCUAUCUCCCACCGCCGGCGGCAGGUUUAUCCCGAUUCCCGAGGCUGCAGAUGAGAAUGUCGACGAGGAGGAGGAAAUACAAGUCGAUGUCGAGGAGUUUCAAGGAUUCUUCGUCAAUCCCACUCAUUCAAUGAAAUCCGAGGAGACGCCGUUGAUCGGCAGGGACUCCAGAACUGUUCAGGUCAGUUUGUUACCUGAUUCCGCCGUCGUAUCCGUCGGCCACGGCUCCGAAACAUAUGCGGUUGCAUUAAGGGUGAAAGCUCCUCCGCCUUUAGUACAAUCGGUAUCGAAUAGAGGUAACGCUUCUGCGACGAGUCGAGCUCCGAUCGAUUUAGUUGCAGUACUGGAUGUCAGUGGUAGCAUGGCCGGCCCUAAGCUAUUGAUGCUGAAACGAGCUAUGCGUUUGGUGAUCUCCUCCUUGGGAUCGGCUGACCGCCUCUCUAUCGUGGUUUUCUCAUCCGUUCCGAAGCGACUGUUGCCAUUGAUGAGGAUGACAGCUCACGGUCAGCGUGCAGCUCGGCUCAUCGUUGACCGGCUGGUUUGCGGUCAAGGGAGCAGUGUGGCUGAAGCUCUAAGGAAAGCGGCGAAGGUGCUGGAAGAUAGGAGAGAGAAAAAUCCGGUGGCGACGACUCUCAUUUCGUGGAACGGCUGGACUACGGUAUUGAGCUCCGGCUCGGUUCGUCUAGGUGAUCUGUAUGCAGAAGAAGAAAGGGAGCUAUUGGUGGAGCUGCGUGUUCCGUCGUCGGCGGUGGGACGCCAUCACGUGAUGUCUGUGAGGUGCCUUUACAAAGAUCCGGGGACAGAAGAAGUUGUGUACGGACGGGAUCAGGCGCUGCUAGUUCCAAGGCCGCACGCCGUCCGUUCGUCAGCGCCGAAGGUAGAGCGGUUGAGGAAUCUAUUCAUAACGACGAGAGCGGUGGCGGAGGCGGGGAGGGUGGGGGCUGGUGGAGCACAGCAACAAUUUCACGAGCGCGCAUCACUUGCUGGCGUCAACGAGGGUGUUACUAAUGCAGUCGGAGUACGAAGGGGCGGAGGAGUACAGGAAGGUGGUGGAGGUGGAGCUAGCCGAGCUACACUGGAGGAAACAACAGGAGAUAGAAGCGGGGGCGAUGAUGAUGCAACGGCAACGGAGGAGAGGAGGAGAGAGGGAAGCAGCGGCGGUGAUGACGGACGAGAACGGAGAGCCGUUAACGCCGACAUCGGCUUGGAGAGCGGCUGAGAAGCUGGCUAAGAUGGCUAUGAUGAAGAAGUCGAUGAAUAGAGUGAGCGAUUUGCACGGCUUUGAAAACGCGAGAUUCUGAGCGUUUCGGGCAGACGGGGUAAAAUUGGAAUUUUAGUUUUUCUUUUUCCUUGAUAAUUUGCUUGCUAGGUUCAAACUUCAAAGUAAAAGCGGUUUGUACAUUUAUGGGAGAUGAAUGAGAAGUCGAUUGAUCAAAACGUAAGAUUAGUGAAUAGUGGAUGAUGAUACCACAUUUUGAUCCACCAGCGCAGUGGUUGUCGAGAUUCUAACCUUCUUUGCGGCUCGUACGUUUUUACAGAUGUAGGUGGUCUGAUGAGAUCUAAACUGAAUUGUUCAUAAAGUGACGAGACAGAUUUUUUCAUAUCUAAUUUGUCGUGAGAAUAUUGAUCUUACAAUUUAGACCAAUGUUUAGACUUUGUUUGCUUUACUAUCUUGAUUUUUUCAUUCCAAAUCUAUCUAUGAUAAAGAAAAACCUCUUCACCUUUUUAUUUAAGGAAACAAAACAAAAAAUCAGUGUGCUCCAUUCCUGUCUCCUCGUCUGAUAGGAUAAUAGAUCCAAGCCCAUGUCGUUCGGUAUCAAGGCCCAACCCUCCUUCGUCGGAGAGUAGUAUUUUCGACGUCUCCUCGUCUGAUAGGAUAAUAGAUCCAAGCCCAUGUCGUUCGGUAUCAAGGCCCAACCUUCCUUCGUCGGAGAAUAGUAUUUUCGACCACAACUCAUAUUGUCGGCAGUAGUUAAUUAUUUAGUUGAGUAUUGUUGAAUUGGUCAUUAUUUUUAAAUUAGUCUUAGUAUUCGAUUUUCUGUUGCAUUCUUAAGGGAUCCAACUCCACCUUUAGGGGGAUGUGGAGUUAGGGAAGAGGAAACUAAGUUUGCUGUUAUUAUAUGUAAGCUUUGGUUAAUAAGAAAUAGGUAAACAAUUAAAGUAGUAAAGAAAUUCCUUGUUGUUCUUGCUAAGAAAGUAGAACGAGAUCAUCUCCGACCGGAAAAUAGGAGUUACCGAUUCUUUAUCGUAUCAUCGUCAUUCCUGUCUCCUCGUUCAUGUGGAAGGCAUUGCAAAUCAAAGAGGUGAAAGAAUUGCCUAAAGUUUCACCUUCCUAAGCUAUACUUGUGCAUAGAGCAUUAUUUCGCUGCACCUAGAAAACACAAGUAGAAUGGGAUUGUUGAAUGUAAAAAUCGAACUCUUAUUGAAAUUGACAAUAAUUCUUAUUGGACUGACGUGCGAUGCGGAAAAGAUUAAGUAGCCGUUGGGACUCUUAAACGUUUGAUCUGCAACACACCUCGUACAGAUUUUGGUCAAGGAAAUUUCACGAGUAGAGUGCAAAGUAACAUGUAGUUCUUACAUCUGUUGGUGAGCUGAGUGUUAACUACUACACAAACUAGUAUAUCGGGACUGACACCAAAGCUAACAAUUUUAUGAAACGUGGUAAAAACUUGUGUUUGUGUCUUCUCCUUACGCAACUGUUAUCUUCAUUGUUCGCCAAACCCCACUAGCAGUGAAGCAAGCAGCUGUUCUUCGUCAUGGUGCGAUGUGUAUAUGAUGGUUUAUAGUAUGGCGGCGGAGUUUGUAGUGGAUAGAAACCAUACAACGAUUAGAACUUGUCCCAUAAAGAAUGUCGCUAUACAUGUCCCAUGACAAGAUAGAGAGUGACUUUUCGAUUCUGUUAAAAGUACUUGUGUGGUGAGGAUGAUGACCUUGUGUGGCUUUCUCUGGAUCCCUUAUUUCUCAAACAAACCCAACUGGCUUUUUGAGGAAUACAGAGGUCCGCUCCACGUUGCUUGUCUGACGAACUCAAAGUGGCUUUGAAAUCACCCAGAAUACAGAUUCAAGCUUUUUUGAAACGUUUGUUAUUUUUUAGAUCUGGACGAAAAUACCACCUAAUUAAGUACUUAUAAUCCCUAAUCCAACAAGCAAACUGUAUAUACCACCAUGCAAGCUAAAGAUAUAAAGCAUAAGCAAAGUGGAGGCUUUCCAACUGCACCUCUACGUAUACUGAACAUUCAGCCACUCACCCACCAAUGUAAUAUGCUCCAAAUGGAACUCUAUACCUAUAACCCGUGGAAGCAAACAGUAUCUGGUACUGGUAUGACACCACACAUCCAUGAAUUGAAGACCACGCGAAGGUUCAACUCAUUGUCCCCAACAUGAUCUAAGAAGAAAAAUAAACCCCGAAAAGUUUCCGAUAAAUAACAAUGAAGUCUGCCUCCUCGUCCAUAUAAACACAGCAAUUAUACAUAGGUUAGGAAAAUCGAUUGAUUGUCUGAUACUUAAAAAAUGAAUCGAAGUAAAAAGGAUUCCAUCCAUGCAGGAGGGUUCUUCUUACUUCUGGCCGGUUUUGGCUCGAAUCUUUUGUUCCAGGAUAGCUAUUUCUGUUUCCAAGCUGAACAUCCUGUUAAGCGCAUGCAUAUUCUCAAGUGUCUCAGUAAGAGUACGGCUGCUACUCCCGUCGCAUCUUAAGUGCUGCAUCGGUCCGUGUAAUAGCUUAUUAACAAUGCCGCGACUGAGAUCAUCUACAGCUCUCCUCGUCUUCUUUGGGAUCUCUUCACCACCCAUUUUCGAAAGACAUUUAUCCAGCUCCGCUAGCCUGAUCCUCUCGGCAUAUGCUCUCAGUUUCUUGAUGGUUGGUACAGUCUCGAGCGAAUCCCUCCAAGCUUCGAAUUGCUUCGUUUCCUCAGUGAUGAUAUCUAGAGCUUCCAUUGCUUUCCUGAGGCGAUCCUCUUUGUUAGCAGCUACAACCUCCUUAAGGUCGUCCACGUUGUACACGCGAACGUUUUCAAGGUCAUUAACGCACGAGCCAACAUUCCUCGGAACAGAAAUGUCGACAAAUAAUCUCGAGCCUCCAACUUCCGAGCUAACAGCUGGGAGUUGCUCGACAUGUUUUUUUAGAAACAGCGGGACAUCCGAUGCAGUGCUGGUGAAUACCACAUCGGAUUCAGCUGCACAAGCGAGCAUGUCAUCUAGUGGUCUGUAAAUGAUCUCCGCAUCCUUUAUCUCUUCUCGUAUGGCCGCCACUCUUUCCUCCGAUCGGUUAACAACCACCAUCUUCGUGCAGCCUUUCGCCGCCAAGUGCUGCAGCCUUUCGCCGCUAAGUGCUUGAUCACAAGCUUCCCCAUCUUGCCUGCACCGAUAACCAACAUUCGGGCAGUGGAGUGUGCGGCUUUGGGGAUUUUCAUGAGUGCAAGUUCAACUGCAGCAGAGCUCACUGAAACAGCCCCAGCAGCAAUGCUUGUCUCCGACCUGACACGUUUCCCAACGGUUAUUGCGUGUUUGAAUAACCCGCUUAUGUUCCUGCCAAACCCAACAACACCUUGGCCGACAUUCACAACUUGCUUAACCUGCGCGAGGAUCUGACCCUCUCCGAGAACCAACGAGUCGAGACCAGCAGAUACUUCAAACAAGUGGCGCGUUGCAUCGUUGUUGUAGAGCAGGAAUCGGUGCUCGCAGAUUUCUGAUGCAGGGAUGCCGCUUGUCUGAGAAAAGUAAGAGAUAAUUUAGCAUUCUCUUAAACUUAUCUUAUCUUAGCUAUAAAUACGAAGUUACUAGGACAUUGAAACAGCAGGCAUGAAAAGAAGUAAUGACCUUGGACAUCCAGUCGGUGACUUCUUUAACGCCACGAUGCUGAGAAAGGGCUACAACAUAAAUCUCCAUACGGUUGCAAGUACUGAGCACGGCAGCCUCUUCAAUAUGGUUGAGGCUACAAAGUUCAGCAAUGGCUCUAGGCCAUUCAGCUUCUGGAAUAGCAAGCUUCUCACGCAUCUCAACUGGUGCAGUAUGCACGCUCAGUCCAAUUGCCACAAUGCUUGCCCUUUCCUUUGUAUAUCCUGCGCACAGUGUUUGUUUUUAUGAUAAGCACAAUUUGAAAGAUGGGAGUGUACAUCACAUCAGAAAGCAAUUCAAUUACACGGCCGAACUCCCAAUCAGUCUAAAUUACGAAUCUAUUCUUAUUAUAGGCGAGACAAUCAAAUUCUAAAGAAGAAAAGAAAAACUCACUAUCAGCGGCGGAUGUCUUGAGCUGCUCAAGGGCAGACUGGCUAGAAACGUUGUCGAGGCCAAUCCGAGUGUCGGCAGUCUCAACCACACCAUCUUCUACAGAAGAAGCGGCGGUGAUAUCAAAUCUGAGUCCUCCUCUCAGCAUUGAACUCUUAUUUCUGCUCCUGGAGCAGUUGAUCUUCAGUUGAGAGGUAGCCAGAUAAGCCCGGAGAGACGAGGGCGACCCCGAUGAGGAAGCCGACGGGAAUGAAGUAUUCAACAAGAAAGCCUCCAUCUUGGCUGCUGCCAAGGUAGUAGCGACACCGCUCGAAACAGCCAUUGUAAAAACAAAGUAGGAAGAGAAUUGAAGAGUACAAAAACAGCGAUUAAUAGUUCUACUACGGCGCUCCGAAUCGGAAUCCCAAGACNNNNNNNNNNNNNNNNNNNNNNNNNNNNNNNNNNNNNNNNNNNNNNNNNGGCGCCUGUAACACCCGCCCCACCUACUACAGGCGAAGCGGCGGUGAUAUCAAAUCUGAGUCCUCCUCUCAGCAUUGAACUCUUAUUUCUGCUCCUGGAGCAGUUGAUCUUCAGUUGAGAGGUAGCCAGAUAAGCCCGGAGAGACGAGGGCGACCCCGAUGAGGAAGCCGACGGGAAUGAAGUAUUCAACAAGAAAGCCUCCAUCUUGGCUGCUGCCAAGGUAGUAGCGACACCGCUCGAAACAGCCAUUGUAAAACAAAUUGAAGGGUACAAAAACAGCGAUUAGUAGUUGUACGGCGCUCCGAAUCGGAAUCCCCAGCCAAAAACAGCCCCUUUUGAAAUUGAGAAGGGGGAGAGAGGGUUAUUGCCUAUAGGAGAGAAUUACGACUCUUCAACGGAGCGCCGGCUGCUGCGUUAUUUGGUGGAUUUGGUCGCUGGUUGUGUGCUCGUUUUAGUUAUGGGGCUCGUUCGUUGAAAAGAAAGAAAAAACAAAAGGGAACAAUUUGAAGGAAUUGACCCACCCUCCACCUGCUACCGCCUCCUCCGAUUUCGAUAAGAAAAAGGGCUCAGCUAAUCGCGAUUGAGGG